ACGCUCGACACCUGGAGGCAGCAGUGGGGAAUAUUGCACAAUGGGGGAAACCCUGAUGCAGCGACGCCGCGUGAAGGAUGAAGUAUUUCGGUAUGUAAACUUCUAUCAGCAGGGAAGAAAGUGACGGUACCUGACUAAGAAGCCCCGGCUAACUACGUGUCAGCAGCCGCGGUAAUCUGAGCGGGCUGGCAAGGC
rnacentral:rRNA from 1 species